AACGUACGCUGGCGGCACGCCUAACACAUGCAAGUCGAACGAAGUAGCAAUACUUAGUGGCAGACGGGUGAGUAACAUGUGGGUAUCUGCCCUUUGGCCUGGAAUAACACGAGGAAACUUGUGCUAAUACCGGAUAAGUCUUUACGGAGAAAGCUUUAUGCACCAUUGGAUGAGCCCGCACUUGAUUAGUUUGUUGGUGGGGUAAUGGCCUACCAAGACUGUGAUCAAUAGCUGAUUUGAGAGGAUGAUCAGCCACAUUGGGACUGAGACACGGCCCAAACUCCUACGGGAGGCAGCAGUGGGGAAUCUUGCACAAUGGAGGAAACUCUGAUGCAGCGAUGCCGCGUGAGUGAAGAAGGCCCUUGGGUUGUAAAGCUCUUUCGUCGGGGAAGAAAAUGACUGUACCCGAAUAAGAAGGUCCGGCUAACUUCGUGCCAGCAGCCGCGGUAAUACGAAGGGACCUAGCGUAGUUCGGAAUUACUGGGCUUAAAGAGUUCGUAGGUGGUUGAAAAAGUUAGUGGUGAAAUCCCAGAGCUUAACUCUGGAACUGCCAUUAAAACUUUUCAGCUAGAGUAUGAUAGAGGAAAGCAGAAUUUCUAGUGUAGAGGUGAAAUUCGUAGAUAUUAGAAAGAAUACCAAUUGCGAAGGCAGCUUUCUGGAUCAUUACUGACACUGAGGAACGAAAGCAUGGGUAGCGAAGAGGAUUAGAUACCCUCGUAGUCCAUGCCGUAAACGAUGUGUGUUAGACGUUGGAAAUUUAUUUUCAGUGUCGCAGCGAAAGCGAUAAACACACCGCCUGGGGAGUACGACCGCAAGGUUAAAACUCAAAUGAAUUGACGGGGACCCGCACAAGUAGUGGAGCAUGUGGUUUAAUUCGAAGAUACGCGCAGAACCUUACCAACACUUGACAUGUUCGUCGCGACUCUAAGAGAUUAGAGUUUUCGGUUCGGCCGGACGAAACACAGGUGCUGCAUGGCUGUCGUCAGCUCGUGUCGUGAGAUGUUGGGUUAAGUCCCGCAACGAGCGCAACCCUCACUUUUAGUUGCCAUCAUUAAGUUGGGCACUCUGAAAGAACUGCCAGUGAUAAGCUGGAGGAAGGUGGGGAUGACGUCAAGUCCUCAUGGCCCUUACGUGUUGGGCUACACACGUGCUACAGUGGUAUCUACAACAGGAAGCAAGACUGCGAGGUCAAGCAAAUCCUUAAAAGAUACCUCAGUUCGGAUUGCACUCUGCAACUCGAGUGCAUGAAGCUGGAAUUACUAGUAAUCGUGGAUCAGCGUGCCACGGUGAAUGCGUUCCCGGGUCU
rnacentral:rRNA from 1 species